rnacentral:rRNA from 1 species
CCCAGACUCCUACGGGAGGCAGCAGUGGGGAAUAUUGGGCAAUGGGCGAAAGCCUGACCCAGCAACGCCGCGUGAAGGAAGAAGGCUUUCGGGUUGUAAACUUCUUUUGUCAGGGACGAAGCAAGUGACGGUACCUGACGAAUAAGCCACGGCUAACUACGUGCCAGCAGCCGCGGUAAUACGUAGGGGGCAAGCGUUAUCCGGAUUUACUGGGUGUAAAGGGAGCGUAGACGGCAGCGCAAGUCUGAAGUGAAAUCCCAUGGCUUAACCAUGGAACUGCUUUGGAAACUGUGCAGCUGGAGUGCAGGAGAGGUAAGCGGAAUUCCUAGUGUAGCGGUGAAAUGCGUAGAUAUUAGGAGGAACACCAGUGGCGAAGGCGGUCUGCUGGACAGCAACUGACGCUGAGGCGCGAAAGCGUGGGGAGCAAACAGGAUUAGAUACCCUGGUAC